rnacentral:rRNA from 2 species
AGUGCAGAAGAGGGUAGUGGAACUCCAUGUGUAGCGGUGGAAUGCGUAGAUAUAUGGAAGAACACCAGUGGCGAAGGCGGCUACCUGGUCUGCAACUGACGCUGAGACUCGAAAGCAUGGGUAGCGAACAGGAUUAGAUACCCUGGUAGUCCAUGCCGUAAACGAUGAGUGCUAGGUGUUGGAGGGUUUCCGCCCUUCAGUGCCGGAGCUAACGCAUUAAGCACUCCGCCUGGGGAGUACGACCGCAAGGUUGAAACUCAAAGGAAUUGACGGGGGCCCGCACAAGCGGUGGAGCAUGUGGUUUAAUUCGAAGCUACGCGAAGAACCUUACCAGGUCUUGACAUCUUGCGCCAACCCUAGAGAUAGGGCGUUUCCUUCGGGAACGCAAUGACAGGUGGUGCAUGGUCGUCGUCAGCUCGUGUCGUGAGAUGUUGGGUUAAGUCCCGCAACGAGCGCAACCCUUGUUACUAGUUGCCAGCAUUAAGUUGGGCACUCUAGUGAGACUGCCGGUGACAAACCGGAGGAAGGUGGGGACGACGUCAGAUCAUCAUGCCCCUUAUGACCUGGGCUACACACGUGCUACAAUGGACGGUACAAACGAGUCGCGAACUCGCGAGGGCAAGCAAAUCUCUUAAAACCGUUCUCAGUUCGGACUGCAGGCUGCAACUCGCCUGCACGAAGUC